GCCAUAUCAAGUUGAAACACCGGUUCCUGUAUGAUCACCAAAGUUUUGUAAUGUUGAGCCUUGUCAGUACCAAGAUGGGUGACUGCUUGGGAAUACCAAGUGCUGUAAG